rnacentral:misc_RNA from 1 species
AAGUCGUAACAAGGUUUCCGUAGGUGAACCUGCGGAAGGAUCAUUAAAGAGAGGGACGUUCGCGUUCCGGGGGGCUUCGGCCCCUCCUCUUCACCCCCGUGUUUUACCUUACCAAUUCGUUGCUUUGGCAGGCCUUGGGGGUCGUGCUCAUGCCGCCCGGGGGGUGUCCCCGGGGGGCGAGCGCCUGCCGAAAGCCCAUUAACUUCUUGAUCACCAUGUUGUCUGAGUGAAAACAAAAUCAGCAAAA